UAUUGCACAAUGGGGGAAACCCUGAUGCAGCGACGCCGCGUGAGCGAAGAAGUAUUUCGGUANGUAAAGCUCUAUCAGCAGGGAANNCGNNNANGGUACCUGACUAAGAAGCUCCGGCUAAAUACGUGCCNNNANCCGCGGUAAUACGUAUGGAGCAAGCGUUAUCCGGAUUUACUGGGUGUAAAGGGAGCGUAGGCGGCCUGGCAAGUCUGGUGUGAAAUACCGGGGCCCAACCCCGGGACUGCAUUGGAAACUGCCAGGCUGGAGUGUCGGAGGGGCAGGCGGAAUUCCUAGUGUAGCGGUGAAGUGCGUAGAUAUUAGGAGAAGCACCGGUGGCGAAGGCGGCCUGCUGGACGACAACUGACGCUGAGGCUCGAAAGCGUGGGGAGCAAACAGG
rnacentral:rRNA from 1 species